rnacentral:rRNA from 1 species
UACGUAGGGUGCAAGCGUUGUCCGGAAUUAUUGGGCGUAAAGAGCUCGUAGGCGGUCUGUCGCGUCGGCUGUGAAAACUCGGGGCUCAACCCCGAGCCUGCAGUCGAUACGGGCAGACUAGAGUGCUGUAGGGGAGACUGGAAUUCCUGGUGUAGCGGUGAAAUGCGCAGAUAUCAGGAGGAACACCGGUGGCGAAGGCGGAUCUCUGGGCCUUACCUGACGCUCAGGCGCGAAAGCUAGGGGAGCGAACAGG